rnacentral:lncRNA from 1 species
UUAUUUAUAGAUGAAGAGCUCCGAACAGCGGCCUUUUGUUAUUUGGCUGAGUUUCUUGAUAUCUCUCAAGAAUGCCUGGUCAAUAAUGGGUGCACUGAUUUUUAUCUAGCAAAUAUUACUUCUGCAGAUCAUUCAGCAGAGGUUUAUGACUUACUUCUGCUUCCAUUGGACAGUGUCCUGUCUAAUCUAACAAACUUGGGAGAUAACAUAAGUGUGCUAUCUGCUUUGCACUGCACUUUUACAUGGCUUCAAAUGUGGACAGAGAUUUUUGAAGAAGCAUCUAAAAUCUUAAAUUUGAAUUCAACCUUUUUUGUGUGUCUAAGAAAUGAUUUGGCAAAUCUCUCCCAAAGUCUUCUAAAUGCAACUCAUGACCAGCUAUGCAAUAAUACAGCUAUAGAUAUUCUUGAGUCUACAAGAGAAGCAAUGAAGAUAUUAAAAGUUGUAUUUCAAGAAGGUGGUAAUUUAAAUGACUGGAAAGAUUUUGAGGCUUUCCUUGCUAGUCUUCAAAAUGUAUUUAACAAUGCAUUUGAUGUCACAAGCUUGCUUAAAGGCAACAGUUUAGAAAGUGUUUUAGAAAUGAUGGGAGUCGUGAUAACUGAAUUGCAGAAAUCUAUACUGAAGGUUGUUAAUGGAGAGUUUUUGAAUUCUUGGCUUGAUAUUUUUAUCUCAGGAGAAUCUGAGGGUGAAGAUAAGGGUGUGGGUGUAUUUUCCAUUGGAAAUUCCCUUUCUACUAUUCUCAAGCUCUCACAAAAGGAACUUGAAAUUAUUCUUACUGAGAUAAAUGACACAACUGCUUUUUUAAAAAGUGUACCUCGAGACAAAUAUAUAGUUUGUAUCAGCAUUUUCCAGAAUAUUACCAAACUAAUUUUGAACAGUGGUCUGAAAAACGUAAGCUAUUUGCAAACAAAUUUUUCACCUCAUCUUAAUUCCUUUCUAAACUUCUAUAGUACAGUGGAUGAAGCAGAGGAUUGUAACAGAUGGAUACAUGGAUUAAGUAAUCUCAGUGAAAAAUACAAGUCAUCUUCCCACCUUGAAAGUGCAAAACAUAUUUUAUUUCUUCUGCAAUCUCUGGG